ensembl:lncRNA
AGUUACUAAUACUCCGAGAAGUUUGCAGAUAAUGCAGGUCUGCCUACAAACCUGAAGCAAGACCUAAUUACAUACAGAAUCGGUCCCAGUGCGAUUUACCCCAUUUCUUCUGCUUCGUUACAUCUGCCAGAUAAUCUAAUAUUAGGGAUACAAUUUCCAGCACUCUGAUGUUUCCCUUUUCAUGUUGAUUAUAGCAGUGAAGAUUUUGUGGGGAGGAUGAUAUUGUGUUUAUUAGAAAGAUCAUUCCCAUUUUUCUGCUUUAAUUCAGCAGAUUUAGUUGCUAUGUACAUAACAUUGUCAAAAGCUUUUCACUGGGUCCAAUAGCCCACAUAAAAGUAAUCAUCACUUUCACUGUGUCCUACCUGAUUUUUCUAAAUAAUGUUGCCUCACAUGAACAGGUAUUGUAGUAUUAGGUAUCAGACUUGAAUCUUUUCCAUAUUUUAAGUAACAUUGUUCCAUUUAAAUUAAAAUAAAUAAAUAAAUAAAUCCAAAACGAAACAGCCCAAACCAACAACAACUAAAAAUCAUAAAAUUGAAAGAGGAGACAACGUUAAACUUUUGUUAUGGGUGGGAACAUGGAUGUAUUUUUGGCAAUACUUAUAAUUAUUGAUGAAAGUUUAUAUACUUUUUGUUGGUUAUACAAGAACAUUACAGCAAUCACUCCACUGUACAUUCCCCUGUGGAAGAGAGAGCAGCCAAACAAAGCUGAUAACAGAAGUACUGUUAUUAGCAUUUCCAGCUUGACAAUUAUCCAUCAGGUAACUUCUUGCCAUUGAGAAGCUUCGGUUCUCAAGGAGGUACCAAGUGAUAGAAUUCUUCCUAGUCUGAGCUUAAUAAUGACAUUGAUCAAAAUGCUAAUUUAUGUAGAUUCAUCAGGACAUGAUGAUUAUGGUGAUAAGGCCUCAUGAUUGUAACUUCCAGAGUAAAUGUACUGAAAUGAUAAAUGCAUAUAUCGCAGUUGAAAGAAAUGGCUUCAGCAUUGCAGUUAAUGUUUCAUACAGCCGAACUUCAUUAAGCACAACUCAGCUAAUGACAUCACGGAUUUGUUUCAUUUUAUUAAAUUGCAUUAAUUGGGAAAAUGCAUUGAAAGCUGACUGUGAAGAAAUUUGCUUUUCCCUGGAAUAACUAAAAAAAAAAAAAAGGGGGGGGGGGGCUAAUUGGAUUAAUUUGUCCCUUCUCCCUCUAUUAACUAAGAGCAUGAUGAUUCUUUCUCAACUUUAUGUUGUGAAAUACUUUGUGUAUAACAUGAUUCUCAUUAACCAAGUUAAUUGUAGGGGUUUUAAGUGAGAACACUCGCAGGCUGGACCACUGCCAGUUCCAUUCCAAUAGCAUUAAAUGCCAUCUCCCCGGAGACACAUGCCUUUGUUAAAGGCCUGUGUUACCAUUAUUAUUUAUGUUAAAAGAAGCAAUCAACAAGAUCUUGCCAUGGUUCCUUAAACUAUUCAUGCCUGAUCCAUUGUAUCAAACUGCAAUGUUUGUUACAAAAUUGUUGUCUUCUGAGUUCUGAUUGUGAUAAUGAGGCUUUGCGGGAUACAUGUGAUUCAUAGCGAUGCCUCUGAGCUCUUAAAAACAUUGUUGUGCUGCAUUUAAUUAUAGGAACAGAUUCUACAAACAGUUGAAAAUCACAUAAUUUGCAUGUAAUUAUGAGUAUUAUGUAGAUUGGAAAGGGAUAGGUGGCUUUAAUUAUGCAGAAAGUGCAGGUCUCUCUAGUUUUAACCUUCCAUUGUCAAGGAUUCCUAGAAAUUAGAAGUUUACAUUCACAUUAAAAAUCAGCUUAAAAAUCCUUCUGGGAAGGAACUGCUAUUGCAUUUUUCUGUGUAAUGUGUCAAAGAUGCUCUCUUGUUUUUGGGCAGUGCUUACCAGUAAAUUAAUGGUAAAGUUAUUAUGCUGAAGACAAAAAAUAAACUAAUAGUAUGCAGUAAUACCUACUACUAAGUGAUAAUUUCUAUUUAAUUAAAAAUAAACCAACAGUAACUUUUUCAGACAUCAAAGUU